rnacentral:rRNA from 1 species
CACACCGCCCGUCACGUCAUGGGAGUUGGUUUUACCCGAAGGCAGUGCGCCAACCGCAAGGAGGCAGCUGACCACGGUAGGAUCAAUGACUGGGACG